rnacentral:rRNA from 1 species
CGGGUGGACCACCAUCCAAGCCUAAAUACUACCUGAUGACCGAUAGAGGAGCAGUACCGUGAGGGAAAGGUGAAAAGGACCCCGGGAGGGGAGUGAAAGAGAACCUGAAACCUUGUGCUUACAAGCAGUCAAAGCACGUUAACGUGUGAUGACGUACUUUUUGUAGAACGGUCCGGCGAGUUAUAGUAACGAGCAAGCUUAAGGUAUUGAGUACCGGAGGCGAAGCGAGAGCGAGUCUGAAUAGGGCGUAAAGUUCGUUGCCAUAGACCCGAAACCGGGUGACCUAUCCAUGAGCAGGCUGAAGUGAGAGUAAAAUCUCAUGGAGGGCCGAACCGACCCCCGUUGCAAUGGUGGCGGAUGACUUGUGGAUAGCGGAGAAAUUCCAAUCGAACUCGGAGAUAGCUGGUUCUCCCCGAAAUAGCUUUAGGGCUAGCGUUAUGUUAGAUUACCGGAGGUAAAGCACUGAAUGGUGGCGGGGCCGAUAAGGUUACCAAGACCUAUCAAACUCUGAAUGCCGGAUAAUUGAUGCAUAGCAGUCAGACAGCGUGAGAUAAGUUUCGUUGUCAAAAGGGAAACAGCCCAGACCCACAGCUAAGGUCCCAAAUUCAUGCUAAGUGGAAAACGAUGUGGAAUUGCGAAAACAACCAGGAUGUUGGCUUAGAAGCAGCCACUCAUUAAAAGAGUGCGUAAUAGCUCACUGGUCGAGUGACUCUGCGCGGAAAAUAUAACGGGGCUAAGCAUGAAACCGAAGCUUGGGCUUGUACUUAGGUACAGGGGUAGGGGAGCGUCGAGUAUGGGGUGAAGUCAGAGCGGAAGCACUGGUGGACUGUACUGGAGUGAGAAUGCCGGAAUGAGUAGCGAGAAUUAUGUGGGAAUCAUAAUGGCCGAAAAUCUAAGGUUUCUUGGGGAAGGUUCGUCCGCCCAAGGUAAGUCGGGAGCUAAGCUCAGGCCGAGAGGCGUAGGCGAUGCACAUACGGUAGAAAUUCCGUAACCACCGAAACUUAAACAGAGGGACACUUCGAAAUAGCGGAACCCGGGCGUUGGUUGACCCGGGCGUAAGGGAGCGAAAUUAGAGUAGCGAAGUCCGCGAUGUUCGGAGGCGAGAAAAGCUCUGAGGUAUGCUAAGGUGCCCGUACCGCAAACCGACACAGGUAGAUGAGGAGAGAAUCCUAAGGCCAACGGGAGAAGGGUUGUUAAGGAACUCGGCAAAUUGACCCCGUAACUUCGGAAGAAGGGGAGCCCCCUACGGGGGGUCGCAGAGAAAUGGCCCAAGCAACUGUUUACCAAAAACACAGGUCUAUGCUAAAUCGAAAGAUGACGUAUAUGGGCUGACGCCUGCCCGGUGCCGGAAGGUUAAGAGGAGAUGUCAGGCAACGAAGCAUUGAAUUUAAGCCCCGGUAAACGGCGGCCGUAACUAUAACGGUCCUAAGGUAGCGAAAUUCCUUGUCAGGUAAGUUCUGACCCGCACGAAUGGCGUAAUGAUUUGGGCACUGUCUCAACAGCCCGCCCGGCGAAAUUGUAGUACUGGUGAAGAUGCCAGUUACCCGCAACUAGACGGAAAGACCCCAUGGAGCUUUACUGCAGCUUAAUACUGAAAUUCGGUAGUACAUGUACAGGAUAGGUGGGAGACUGAGAAAUACAGGCGUCAGCUUGUAUGGAGUCGCUGUUGGGAUACCACUCUUGUACUGCUGGGUUUCUAACCUGCGGCCGUGAAUCCGGUCGGGGGACACUGUUAGGCGGGCAGUUUGACUGGGGCGGUCGCCUCCCAAAAGGUAACGGAGGCGCUCAAAGGUUCGUUCAGCACGGACGGAAAUCGUGCAAUGAGUGUAAACGCAUAAACGAGCCUAACUGCGACACCGACGGGUGGAGCAGUAACGAAAGUUGGAGUUAGUGAUCCGGUGGUAUGUGAGUGGAAAUGCCAUCGCUCAACGGAUAAAAGCUACCCUGGGGAUAACAGGCUGAUCUCCCCCAAGCGUCCACAGCGACGGGGA